UACGUAGGGGGCAAGCGUUGUCCGGAAUCAUUGGGCGUAAAGCGCGUGUAGGCGGUUUGCAGAGUCUGGUGUGAAAUCUUGGGGCUCAACCCCAAGCUGUCACUGGAUACUGGCAGACUCGAGUCCGGAAGAGGAGUGUGGAAUUCCUGGUGUAGCGGUGGAAUGCGCAGAUAUCAGGAGGAACACCAAUGGCGAAGGCAGCACUCUGGUACGUGACUGACGCUGAGACGCGAAAGCGUGGGGAGCAAACAGG
rnacentral:rRNA from 1 species